CACGGGGGUUGCGAGCGUUGUCCGGAAUUACUAGGCGUAAAGGGCAGGCAGGCGGAUCCAUAAGUUUAUCGUUUAAGGCGUCGGCUUAACCGGCGUAGGGCGGUAGAUACUGUGGAUCUGGAAUGCGGUUGGGGAAGACAGAAUUCCUGGUGUAGCGGUGGAAUGCGCAGAGAUCAGGAGGAAUACCGAAGGCGAAGGCAGUCUUCCAAGCCGUUAUUGACGCUCAACUGCGAAGGUGUGGGUAUCAAACGGGAUUAGAUACCCGGGUAGUCCCUGAGCGGGCU
rnacentral:rRNA from 1 species